rnacentral:rRNA from 1 species
UACAUGGGGUGCAAACGUUGCUCGGAAUUAUUGGGCGUAAAGCGCGCGUAGGCGGUUACUUAAGUCGGAUGUGAAAGCCCUCGGCUUAACUGAGGAAGUGCAUCCGAAACUGAGUAGCUAGAGUACGAAAGAGGGUCGCGGAAUUCCCGGUGUAGAGGUGAAAUUCGUAGAUAUCGGGAGGAACACCGGUGGCGAAGGCGGCUACCUGGACCGGUUCUGACGCUGAUGCGCGAAAGCGUGGGUAGCAAACAGG